GAUUAUAAACAGUCUCUUCGGUUCCAAAAUUUGAUUGAGGAGAAGAGAAACAUACAUAUGGAGGUUAUCAGAGGUGGAAAAAGAAUUGAUGUUUCCAUAUAUGAUCUUAUUGUUGGAGAUGUUGUGCCACUCAACAUUGGUGACCAGGUACCUGCUGACAGACUUCUAAUCACUGGUCACUCACUUGCUAUUGAUGAAUCAAGCAUGACCGGAGAAAGAAAUGUU